rnacentral:rRNA from 1 species
AUUGAACGCUGGCGGCAUGCCUUACACAUGCAAGUCGAACGGUAACAGGUCUUCGGAUGCUGACGAGUGGCGAACGGGUGAGUAAUACAUCGGAACGUGCCCGAUCGUGGGGGAUAACGAAGCGAAAGCUUUGCUAAUACCGCAUAAGAUCUACGGAUGAAAGCAGGGGACCGCAAGGCCUUGCGCGAACGGAGCGGCCGAUGGCAGAUUAGGUAGUUGGGGGGAUAAAAGCUUACCAAGCCGACGAUCUGUAGCUGGUCUGAGAGGACGACCAGCCACACUGGGACUGAGAAACGGCCCAGAAUCCUACGGGAGGCAGCAGUGGGGAAUUUUGGACAAUGGGCGAAAGCCUGAUCCAGCCAUGCCGCGUGCAGGAUGAAGACCUUCGGGUUGUAAACUGCUUUUGUACGGAACGAAAAGACUCUUUCUAAUAAAGAGGGUCCAUGACGGUACCGUAAGAAUAAGCACCGGCUAACUACGUGCCAGCAGCCGCCGUAAGAC